AGCUAAGUGUACUCGUGACCCUACCAGCACUUUUCAAGAUACUUUCGACGUAUUCAUUGCGGUGAACAACGCGGUUGGGACAGCACACUCACGACGUGGGAAGGUCACAGAAAUGUUGAAAGACAUCAGGUAAGUUACGCUAAAGUGCGUUUCAGAGCUCUUCAGUGACUUGUGUUUACUGCGAAACAGAUUGGGCAUACGCUUCACCCGUGCAACUUCGUCAUGUGCUCCACGGCUUUACGGCUGUGCCACUAUGUGUGGAAACGUCGUAGCGGAUGAAUGUGAAUUAUGGAUCUCCAAGUGGCGUCGCCCGCGUCAUUUUCAAGAUUUUACCCGUUUUGAAGGUACGUAGUGAA